GGGGUUACAGCUCAGUGGUAGAGCACUUGCCUCACAUGCACGAGGACCUGGGUUUGAUCCUCAGCACCCCA
rnacentral:tRNA from 1 species